rnacentral:lncRNA from 1 species
AUGCUGGUUCUUCUCCGGCCCAGGAUCUCCACUAAUGUGUCUUUCUGCUUCCUCACAGGACUCCAAGCUGCUGUCUCCUCUCUGCCGUAUCUGAGGCUGGAAAAACUUCCUAGGAGAAGGCAAGAGAAAACCACCAGAAUGGUAGGAUGUGGCCUGAAGGCUCUGGAAAGUCACAGAUCAGACCCUGCAGAAGGUUCCUCAUGUGUGCCAGCCCCUGGCUGGGCCUGGGCAACCUUGCCUCCAUCCUCUGACCCCAGUUCCUGCCACUCCACGUGCAGCAUGUACCCCAGGACCAAGCGAAAUCCCUCACUGGCUUUCUUUGUGUCAUCUCCACACCUAGAAUCAAGCUUCAUCCGGGCGGGAUUCCUGUCCGUGCAGCGCGUGCUGCAUCCUCACCCUCUGUGCCUGGAACAAGCCGGGUGUGUCCUGGGCACUCAGUGGAUAUUUUCAAAGGAAGGAAGAAUGAACACGUGGCUGAGGGUGAAGCAUGAUGAAAGCCAUGAGGAGGAGGCCAGCUUUGGAGACGGAGGGAGUGAUGUCCUGGGAUGCUGGGAGUCAACGGCCUGGGGAAACCCUGCAUGUUUGGGCAGCAGCCUCUGGCCUCCUGGAAGUGGAUGGUCAUGAUUUUUGAGUGAAACGAGGCAAGGGCAUGAUUUCCUCAAGCCAUGUAGCAGGAAGCAGAGGGCUGAUGAGUGCCGUGAGUUAGGGGUGAGUUUUGCCAGGUGAGUCCUGGGGCAGCCGGCACUGUGGG